rnacentral:misc_RNA from 1 species
UCUAUAUAACCCGUUUGUGUACAAAAUGCGGUUUAUUACACACAGGUACAGUAUGCUGGACGCAUCCACUCACUGACAUCGCAUCAUUUGCAGAGGAAUUCCACUUGCGUUCUCCUUGGCUGGCUGGCAUGGCUGUUCAUCUUUAAUAAGAUCAGUGACAUCGUUGAUUAAAACCUGAUUUGCAAUCAAAGGAGCCAGUCUCUCCCGGCAAGCCUCCAGACUGGACAAGAUGAUUUGAUGAGUCUGUUUCAGCGAAUCAGUGCCAUUCACCAUAAUCCAAUUGAAUUAAGUGUGCUGGGGCGGCAUCGUGGUACCUCGACUCCCAAUGCAGAGUAAGCAGUACUUGCAACCGACAGCUUUAGUCUGCUGAUUUUGGGGGGGUUUCAUAAAGACGAAGACGUGGAAAGGAGAUCCCACAUCACAUCGAUCCGUCGUACCAGGGAGCUUGGUGACACACACAGGCCGACUCUGAUAGUAGCUCGGCAACUACACAAGGAUUUGGACAACAACUUUCAGUGCCGUCUGGGUCGCAGAACAUCUCCAGGCAAUUGCUCUGUGUCAUCAGCUGGAGCUUUGAGUAGCUUUUGAAGGAGACGGGAAAAGACGUCACCAUGGCGUCAGAGAGUCUCCCAUCGGUGAUGUUGAUCACCGCCAAUGUUGGAUCAAUAUUCGAAGAUCCUGAGACUAUGCUCCAGGGAUGGCUUCAUAAAUUUUAUGAGUCCGUACAGACGUUGAAACCCCAGCUUAUAGCGGUCCAUAUGCAAGAAGUCGGAGGCAAGGAUUUUGAGCAGUGCAUGGGAAACGUCGAUGCUUUUGUACAGAGUUUAAUAGACAGUGAGGCGCUCAAGUCUUUCGACCGAUCCCUGGUGUUUCUGGAUAAAGACUUUGCUCUCGUUGAUCAGUUUACGGCACUUGGUAAUUUGUACUUCGUUCACGAAUCUCUGCAGAAUGUACAGCUUUAUGACUUCAAAACAUGCAGGUUCAACACAAUUCAGGGCAAGCAAUUUGUAAAUUUGAUAAACAAAAAGACGAUAUAUGAGAAGGCAAAGUUCCCUCAGAACUUCUUCCCAGGAACGGUGUGGUCAAGAAAAGGUUUCCUGAGAACAAGAUGGAACGUAGAAAACAGGAUAUUUGAUCUUGCCAAUAUUCACCUGUUCCACGACGCCAGCAACAUGGUCGCAAUGGAAACGUUUCCCUCGCCGUACUGUAAAUACAGAAAAAGAGCACUGGAGCAUGUGUUACAAAGAUUCUCCAAGGACAAACAUGACAAUGUCCCUCUGUUCCUCUUCGGUGAUUUCAACUUCAGAUUGGACUCGCAGGGUGUGAUUCAGACUUUGGUUGCCGAGGCAACACCAGAGUACACAAAGGAAGACAAGGAGGUGACGAGAAUAACGUACAAGGACUGUGACGGCAGCAGUAAGGUAAUACUUAUCCUUGAGAAGAAGAGAUUCGAGAUUGAUGACCCAGACAGGUUAAUUGGAGAAAACGCCAAGUGGCUUCUUCCAUUUGACAAGGAGAUGAAGUGUUUCACCAACCAGCUCUACGAGUACGACAGAGAUUUCCCGCCAAGUUACCCAUACAGUGAGGACGUAACAGACGGGCGGAGUUACAUGAAGACAAGAGUCCCCGCAUGGUGCGAUCGCAUCCUGCUCUCCAAGGCGGCGAAGGCCCUCGUCAAGGAGGAUCUCUAUAACAAGGCCAUGUACAGUGUAAUCGGUCAAGAAGUAUGCAUGGGCGACCAUAAGCCAAUUUUUUUAAGCUUCCGACUCGCACCGACCCAAGGUAUGCCAGUAAACCAUAAACGUUCCCCUGCUCGUAAGUGUUGUGUGGUACAGUAGCACACCCCUACCCCUCUUUGACGUCUUCCUGUUCUUGCUGCACUGUUUUUCUGUUUGCCUGACACCAUACUACAAAGUAUCAGGAGCAUUGGUGUACUACCCCCUCAUAUACAGGGAGACAUCCGUAUAGCACAGGGCUCCACCCUUGGCCCGGGGUUUACCCCCUUCUCUCUUCACCCCUGAGCCUUGACAGUCUCUUCUGAUGCAAUACGAUAAACCAACCUCGGUUGGCCUCCUCAGGUCACAAGAUGGAAAUCUCCUUGUCUUUUCUUCUUUUGCAUUGAAUGAAUAACUCAAGACUGCUUUGUGUGGAACCCUGUGGUAUAAGUAACUCUUAGUUUGUUACAGUUAUUAAGAACAUAAUUGAUGGUUGAUUGACCAUAAAAGUUGCCCAUAAUUUUCUUGAAAUUGCCAGACUUUGAUGAUGCUUUCCUAUUGUGUUGGCAUAGCCAGUUUAUUUUAUGACAGAGCUCAGGAUAGGAUAGUGCCCUCUUACAGUACCACACUGUACAAAAAAAGGUCAUGCAUAAACAUAAAAGUGUCAUCAGGCGCAUGCAUAUUCAUGAACAACAAUUUGUUCUCAUUGGUUAAUUGGUUCUUAUUUGUGUUGUGAGGCAACACAUUAUUGCGGUGCAUUGACCAAUGAGAAUGUAAGAGUCAUGAAUAUGUAUGAUCAGUGUAAAACUAUCUCAUUGUUUUUGUUUUUUAAUGUUACAGUGUAUUUAAUGUUUACUUUGUACAUGUAAUUUUAUGUGUUACGGGUUGUGAGCAAUUGUUGUAGACCUUGACAAAAUUUUUACUGACUAGCCAAGUAAUUUUUAACAUCAGAUUUUUAAGUAAGGAACAAUUUUGUCAUUGAUUUGCAAUUUAGCAUUACCUUUUUGCUUUUUAUUUAGCUUUUUUUAUCCCACAAAUUAAUCUUUUCCUAGUCAUCGGUUACUACAGUCUGUUUUUACAUCUGGAUCACUUGAUGAGGGUUUUUGAAGGCUAAUUCAUGUAUAAUGUUACCAAAAUUUUAGAAAUGCUUCAAUGAUACAGUUAUUUACAAAAUGCUAGUUAAACAUGGAGGGUGUGGUUUUUUGUGUGAAAAUUGUGCAAUUAUUAAAAGUAGCUUUUAUGUUGUUGUGGUAUUUUGUCAUUGUGAAUCCCUGAACCACCCACAAAAUGACUAACUGUUCACCGAUGGAAUAAUUACCUAUAAGGAAGUCAUGGCUUCAAGGUAAAAUUGGCGUGGUUGUUCUGCGAUUGAAGAACCACUUUAUUAACUUAAAAGGCCCCUUAUUUUUUCUGAACUUAUUUAUUAUGCAAGUGAAAACCAAGAGGCUUCUUUACACAGGAUCUGAAUAGGGAUCUUUAUUUCGCACGUCAUCCUAGGAAAAUGUUAACUUCAGUUAGAGUAUACCUCUUAAAAUGUCAUUGAAAAUGACAUUUGUUUAUACAAUUUUUGAUUUAAUUAGCGAUGCACAUAUUAAUCAUGAUGCUUUGAUUGUAACUGCCAGUUUAAUGUGUUGAGAGCAAUUCAUGUUUUAUUGUCAGACCAGCGAUAAUUUAAUAUUUUUGUUCUGGAGACAUGCUGCACAGCAAAUAUUUUCCAAGACUCCUUGUUUUUUUAUGUCAUAGAAGGAAACUUUGGACCGGUUUAGUGAGGAUCCUUCAAAAUAGUUUGUUCAGUCAGUGUUGGUAUGUUUUAAAUUCCGCGAAUUUGCCAAAUCACUGCGCUCCGAUUUUGUAGGUAUUCUUGUGGGAAUUUUAAGAUGAAAAUUAGCUUCCGUCGUUCCUUACAUUAAUAAAGAAGAAUGGCUUGUGACACGGCUUAUAAGUGUCAAUUAACACUAAACCAGAGGACCACGGUCGGCUGUGUGCCUGACAAUUUUUUAAAUGUUGUAAACAAAACUGGAGAUUGUAUCAUAGAAGUGUAUGCAAUGUUUAUCACGAAGAAGAUCAGACAGUACCAAAAAACCCGCAAUAUGGCAAAUCGAGAAUCAAUCGGUUUGAACAAACACAGCGCCCUCACGGGGUGUGCACACGGCCAUUGAGUUGGCUAGCUGUCUGAUUGAACCUCGCAUGGUAUAAUUGGUCUAGCCACUUCGACUGGUGCUAAACACCACUAAAAACUGCUGAUUUGAAAGGUUCAUUCGGAAUUUACUUUAUUUGUAAAAAAAAUAGCAUAUUCUAAUCAUUGAAUGUAUUCAUCUUAAAUAUUUGUGAGAUCUCCAGAUUUUUUUAACUGCAAGACAGUGACUGCAAGAUCGCAUACCGUAUCGGAAAUUGGACAACUUGUGAGGUCAUUACAUGGAAUCGAUAUUAGUUUUGUUAUUUAACACUUUUUACCGACAUCAGAUAUUGCUUGGAUUGGAUUUUAUCCGCCGAACUGUCAAUAUACCAUAAGCGAUAACAUUGUUACACCAUCCCUUUAAAUGCACACGUAUGUUGCAUGAUAUCGGUUCGUACCUGACUGGGUAGAUUGAUCAGUGAAGUAGCAAGGAACUUCAACUAGAUGUGUACAGUCACUGCUGUAUGCAUCUUCAGUUGUUACCCAUGUAUUAUUUUGAGAUAGAAGUUUCAAUCCCGUGAACUAAGGAUGUAAUAUUUAUAAGAUAUCGAAUUGGUAUUAUCUAGAUACAUCUAUCGUUGUAUUGCGAUAUUAUCUUGGUAUCAUCUUGAUAUCAUGUUGUGUUAAAGUUAGCACUUGUCUAGAUAUUAUCUAGUAUGACCUAGAUAUUUUCUAGGUAUAUCGCGAUAUAAUGUCGGGGUUACUAAUAUUUUUCAUUCGUAUUUAUGUCCGAAUCUUUUAAACCACUUACAAAAUGUACAGUUUUUGCCUCUCUUCUUUUAUACACUGUAAAUGUGAAGUUACAAAGACAUUUAUUAACGUUUAGCUGCUUUUAAUAAUGUAUUCCGUAUAAUACUUUAAUAAUAUAAUUAAUCAGUAUUGAAAUAUUUCGUCGUUAAACAAAUUUACCUAGGCCUGUGUAAUAAGGAGUAGAAGGUUACGUUAUGCACCCUUUGUCGCUGCCAACUCGGAACCAAAUACUAUCUGCUCAAAAUUUACAUCCGGCAGUAUAGCCCAGUGACCCAUUGGCGUUAGAAUCGUACAUGUUACGGUGUCAUUGAAAAAAAUGGAUAUCUUUGUUUGGAUUUUGUAGGAAAGGGUGAUUUGAAAACUUUGUUUCCUGAGAAACCAGUUUAAGAAUAGUCGUAACGUAUGCCUAUAAUGGUCGCGGUCAUUUCUUGUUCCUUAAGUUUUAAAAUGUACAGUGGAGCAGUAUUUUCUUUGAUCGAUUUUUUAGCGACAGGCAAUAAUAUAUUGCGGCCGUUGGUAAUGUACCCCGACCCUUUCAACUUUAACUGAUAACACUUGUUCUCUGAUAACGUUCUCAUCAAUCACCGUAUAGUUGGACGGCUUUCGAUUUGAAACGCCUCGUGACAAGGCUAAUACUUUUACCAUGAAUAUUCACGACGCUAUAGCGUAUAGAAUCAACUUGCAUCAAAAUCGUGCGCUUUUUUUUCGAAAAUCUAUAAAGUUUGUUUAAAAAACUGCCAAAAAUACGAUUUUGACAUUUUCACUGGCCAGUCAUUGGCCGGCAUUGGACUCUUAACAAUUUUAAUGUAUUUCUUAAGAGCUUAUGCAAAACAAAUCAUUUUAAAUUUCCAUUGGAUGUCAGUAAUUUUCCUGUCACCAGUUUGGAAAACUGGUCUGCAUAUACGUAUCGGUUUUAGGUCAGGAACAGUCUUUUAUUAUAGUUAUUUUCAACGUGUACAUGGUGUUGUAUAUAGAAUAGAAAAUCGAAUUUUAAGGUGCACUCUUGUUAUUUUUAUAGUCACAGAUACGGGAUGUAUAUUUAUUUUUUAGAAUUGGUGCGGAUCAGAGUAAUUAAGGAAUGUAGCUUUAAAUUAAAAGUCACCAAAAUAAGAUGGUAAAAUCAUUGGCAUGGAAAUGACAGAUCUCUGCGUGCAAAUUGUCGGGCUUAUGCUUUCACACUCGCUUUGAAUUAUUAAGUAUAUAACUAUUAACUAAUUACGUCUGUUUUGUUGAGUCCUGGUUGAGUUUUGUUUUGAUGGGGGUGGUCGGUCGAUUGAUAUCGAUUUGCCUUUGCUCAACGCAUUGACAUCAGUUUUACCUGAAUGGGACGAAUAAUUUGUUGAAUCAGUGCUUCGUUAUCAUCUCAUGGAUUUAAUACUUUACUCAAUCAGUCCAUAUCGUUAAUACGGGAUGAUCAAUUCAUCUCAAUUUUCAAGACAAAAUAGUCAUCGUUCCAUCAAAUUUGAUUUUUUGAAACUUGAACGCUACAUCAUGACCGAGAACCCACAACGUUCAUCGUUUCACUCCCUUUCUUUUCGCGAUAUUAUUUUGGAUUUAUUUCCAGAGAGGGAAUUCGCCUUUCAUCAUGUCUUCAAAAGUCAGUGUAUGAUUUCAGUAACUAAUGGAUAGAAAACACUAUCGUAGAUGCUGUGUAAUUAUGUAUACCUGUUACUCUUUUUAUUCGACUUUCGGUGGCUUCUAUUUUUACAACAGUGUAAACAACAUACCCGACUAAAAAAUCGUUGUUUUUUAUUACAAUGUAUGUAUUGUUUGAGUAUAAUUAUCAUCCCGAUACUGUGAUAGCACCGACGCACAUGUUGUAGUUUUACCAAAAGAGGGAACAAUUGAAGGAGAUCUCAGAAUUGUAUUUAUUUCCCAAAUCAGAUGCAUUUUCAGUAAUGGAUAUUGUGGCAAUACUAAUAUGAUAUACGUAGACCGUACAACUA